rnacentral:rRNA from 1 species
UGGGGAAUUUUGGACAAUGGGGGAAACCCUGAUCCAGCCAUCCCGCGUGUGCGAUGAAGGCCUUCGGGUUGUAAAGCACUUUUGCAGGAAAGAAACGUCGCGGGUUAAUACCCCGCGAAACUGACGGUACCUGCAGAAUAAGCACCGGCUAACUACGUGCCAGCAGCCGCGGUAAUACGUAGGGUGCAAGCGUUAAUCGGAAUUACUGGGCGUAAAGCGUGCGCAGGCGGUUCGGGAAAGAAAGAUGUGAAAUCCCAGNGCUUAACUUUGGAAACUGCAUUUUUUAACUACCGGGCUAGAGUGUGUCAGAGGGAGGUGGAAUUCCGCGUGUAGCAGUGAAAUGCGUAGAUAUGCGGAGGAACACCGAUGGCGAAGGCAGCCUCCUGGGAUAACACUGACGCUCAUGCACGAAAGCGUGGGGAGCAAACAGGAUU